AUACGGAAGGUCCGGGCGUUAUCCGGAUUUAUUGGGUUUAAAGGGAGCGCAGGCGGAGAUGCAAGCGUGACGUCAAAUUUCGGGGCUCAACCCCGUCUCGCGUCGCGAACUGCGUCCCUUGGUUGCGGGAAGGGGAGGCGGAACUCGUGGUGUAGCGGUGAAAUGCAUAGAUAUCACGAAGAACUCCGAUCGCGAAGGCAGCCUUCCGGCCCGUCAACGACGCUCAUGCUCGAAGGUGCGGGUAUCAAACAGGAUUAGAUACCCUGGUAGUCCGCACAGUAAACGAUGGACACCCGCGGUUUGGCCUGUAUGGCUGAGCCGCCAAGCGAAAGCGUUAAGUGUCCCACCUGGGGAGUACGCCUGCAACGGUGAAACUCAAAGGAAUUGACGGGG
rnacentral:rRNA from 1 species